GCUAGCUUCGGCAGCACAUAUUAAAAUGAGAAUGGUACAGAGAAGACUAGCUGUGCUAGUGUAAGAAUGUCACACCAAUUUGUGAAGCAUCCCACGUUUUG
ensembl:snRNA U6 U6 spliceosomal RNA